CAUGUAAGAAGCCGGCUGUCCAACGGCUGUCCGGGCAUGCUGGGAGUUGUAGUUUUGCAACAUCUGGAGGUCCGCAGGUUGGAGACCACUGGCGUACAGUGAGUUCCAGCACCGGCGGCCCCCAACAAAGGGGAGGAGGGCAGUGUUUGCGGGUGACAUAUAGAACAUAGGAACAAGAAUUCUCAUUGACGCCAGCUCAGCGACAUCAUAUAUGCAUUUCAUCUCUUCAAUCAGCUGUCAGUAGGGAGGAAACGGGCUAUAAGAUACAUAUUCAUUGGAUAGACAUAAAUACCCCCAAAAAUAUUCAUUCAAGUGAAAAGGGAAAGGCUGCAAUACAAGGUACAGCCACAAUGUACAGAGCCAUGUCUGGUAGAAGGCUGCAGCACCGGCACAAGCUCCACAGCUCUGCAGUCCAGAGGGGGUGUCGGGAAUCAGGCCCCCACCAAUCUGAUAUUGAUGGCCUAUCUUCAGCAUCAGCCAUUAAAUUGGU